CGUAGGAGGCGAGCGUUAUCCGGAUUCACUGGGCGUAAAGCGCGUGCAGGUGGCUUGGUAAGUUAGGCGUGAAAUCUCCCGGCUCAACUGGGAGAGGUCGUCUAAUACUACCGGGCUUGAGAGCAGAAGAGGAAGAUGGAAUUCCCGGUGUAGUGGUGAAAUGCGUAGAUAUCGGGAGGAACACCAGUGGCGAAGGCGAUCUUCUGGUCUGUUUCUGACACUCAGACGCGACAGCUAGGGUAGUAAACGGGAUUAGAGACCCCGGUAAUCCUAGCCGUAAACGAUGUGAACCUGGCGUUGGUGGGUUAAACUCCAUCAGUGCCGCAGCAAACGCGAUAAGUUCACCGCCUGGGGACUACGGGCCGCAAGGUUA
rnacentral:rRNA from 1 species